rnacentral:rRNA from 1 species
UACGUAGGGGGCAAGCGUUGUCCGGAAUUACUGGGCGUAAAGCGCGUGUAGGCGGGACGGCAAGUCGGACGUGAAAGGCUCGGGCUCAACCCGAGAAGGCCGUUCGAAACUGCCGUUCUUGAGGGUCGAAGAGGAGAGUGGAAUUCCUGGUGUAGCGGUGAAAUGCGCAGAUAUCAGGAAGAACACCAAUGGCGAAAGCAGCUCUCUGGGACGGUACUGACGCUGAGACGCGAAAGCGUGGGGAGCAAACAGG